rnacentral:lncRNA from 1 species
UAACACUCUUUCAUUCUGCCUUAUAGAGUUACAGACUCUGGCGCACAUUUAUUUCAAUGCCUAUAAACUUAAAGACUUUGGCAUCAUUUCUAUUUUACCUUGUAGAGGUUCAGACUCUAGCAAUCACUUAUAUCUGCCUUAUAUAGUUACAGACUAUGGCACAUCUUUGCGCUCUUGCCUUGUGUAGUUACAUACUCUGGCAGUCUUUUUCCUUGCCCUUUAGAGUUACAGAAUUUGGCAAUUUCUUUAUGCUCAGUAGAGUUACAGACUCAAGUACAACA